rnacentral:rRNA from 1 species
UACGGGGGGGCAAGCGUUGUUCGGAAUUCCUGGGCGUAAAGGGCUCGUAGGGGGCCAACUAAGUCAGACGUGAAAUCCCCAGGCUUAACCUGGGAACUGCGUCUGAUACUGGAUGGCUUGAAUUCGGGAGAGGGAUGCAGAAUUCCAGGUGUAGCGGUGAAAUGCGUAGAUAUCUGGAGGAAUACCGGUGGCGAAGGCGGCAUCCUGGACCGAGAUUGACACUGAUGAGCGAAAGCCAGGGGAGCAAACGGG